rnacentral:rRNA from 1 species
AAUAUUGUGUCAUAUAAAAAAAGACAACUCUGUUACAGAGUAGCUGUUGACAUUAUAGUUGCGCAGGCACUUUGUUGACUCUAGAGAACCUCGGGCCAAUCGCACAUCCCCGUGGCGGCGACUUUGCAUGCAGAUGUCAUCCAUAUCAACUUUCGAUGCCAAUUUCUGCGCCUACCAUGGUGACCACGGGUAACAGGGAAUCAGGGUUCCAUUCCAUACAGGGACCCUGAGAAAUGGCUACCACAUGCAAGGAAGGCAGCAGGCUCGCAAAUGACCCACUCCCGACGCGGGAAGAUAGUGA